AAUCUAGUGGAAACAUUUCCGCACAAACUAGAUUCUGGACACCAGUGUGCGGAAGUGCUUCUGCUGCAUU
rnacentral:pre_miRNA from 8 species